rnacentral:rRNA from 1 species
CCUACGGGGGGCUGCAGUGGGGAAUAUUGGACAAUGGGGGCAACCCUGAUCCAGCCAUGCCGCGUGUGUGAAGAAGGCCCUCGGGUUGUAAAGCACUUUCAGUGAGGAAGAACGCCUGGUGGUUAAUACCCAUCAGGAAAGACAUCACUCACAGAAGAAGCACCGGCUAACUCCGUGCCAGCAGCCGCGGUAAUACGGAGGGUGCGAGCGUUAAUCGGAAUUACUGGGCGUAAAGCGCGCGUAGGUGGCUUGAUAAGCCGGUUGUGAAAGCCCCGGGCUCAACCUGGGAACGGCAUCCGGAACUGUCAAGCUAGAGUGCAGGAGAGGAAGGUAGAAUUCCCGGUGUAGCGGUGAAAUGCGUAGAGAUCGGGAGGAAUACCAGUGGCGAAGGCAGCCUUCUGGACUGACACUGACACUGAGGUGCGAAAGCGUGGGUAGCAAACAGGAUUAGAUACCCGUGUAGUC